rnacentral:rRNA from 1 species
AUUGAACGCUGGCGGCAUGCCUUACACAUGCAAGUCGAACGGUAGAGGGCUUCGGCCCUUGAGAGUGGCGAACGGGUGAGUAAAGCAUCGGAACGUACCCUGUCGAGGGGGAUAACGUAGCGAAAGUUACGCUAAUACCGCAUAAGACCUGAGGGUGAAAGUGGGGGACUGGAAACGGCCUCACGCGAUGGGAGCGGCCGAUGUCGGAUUAGCUAGUUGGUGGGGUAAAGGCCUACCAAGGCGACGAUCCGUAGCGGGUCUGAGAGGAUGAUCCGCCACACUGGGACUGAGACACGGCCCAGACUCCUACGGGAGGCAGCAGUGGGGGAAUUUUGGACAAUGGGCGCAAGCCUGAUCCAGCCAUGCCGCGUGGGUGAAGAAGGCCUC